AUGCAUCUACUUGACAGACCUGGAGCAUGUGACCAUUGCUUUUCUGGUCCUCACUAGGAUGCAAGAGUAAAACAGUUCCUUGCGCUUUCUGCCUGUCAUGUGGCAGUCCAGAUUGAAUAAAGGAAUAUAACU